CGCAGCCGCGGUAAUUCCAGCUCCAAUAGCGUAUAUUAAAGUUGUUGCAGUUAAAAAGCUCGUAGUUGAACUUCGGGGUUUACUCAUUGGUCAGGCUUAAUUGUCUGUACUGGUGAGAUGAAUCUCUACCUUCUGAGGAACUUUCAUGCCAUUAAUUUGGUGUGUUGGGAAAUCAGGACUGUUACUUUGAAAAAUUAGAGUGUUUAAAGCAGGCUAACGUCUGAAUACAUUAGCAUGGAAUAAUGAAAUAGGACGGAUUGAUUCUAUUUCGUUGGUUUCUAGGGUCACCGUAAUGAUUAAUAGGGAUAGUUGGGGGCAUUAGUAUUCAAUUGUCAGAGGUGAAAUUCUUGGAUUUAUUGAAGACUAACUACUGCGAAAAGCAUUUGCCAAGGAUGUUUUCAUUAAUCAAGAGCGAAAGUUAGGGGAUCGAAGACGAUCAGAUACCGUCGUAGUCUUAACCAUAAACUAUAGCCGACUAGGGAUCGGACGCAGUUAAUUUAUAAUGACGUGUU
rnacentral:rRNA from 1 species